rnacentral:misc_RNA from 1 species
GCUAUGAAACAGAUACCAGACUUAGAGAAGUUGAGUACGAGAAUCAGUUUUACAGCUCUAAAUAAUGCAACUGAAUCUUUCGAUGAACACAAUCUCAUCGGCUUUGGAAAGAAGGGGAAAUUGUACAAAGCAAAACUUCCUUAUUAUGAUUGUUUAGCAGCAGUUAAAAGGUUCUAUAAUUCUCGGUGUCUGGUAAAACAAUGCUUCUCUGAGCUAAUGAUUCUAGGUAAGUUUAAACAUAUUAACAUAGUUCCUCUCCUAGGCUUUUGUAUAGAAUCAACUGAAAGGCUUCUUGUAUACAAAUAUAUGCCAAACGGGAACCUUUACGAUUGGUUGCACCCCAUGAAUAAUGAGACUAAGAUCUUGGACUUCCAUUUAAGGAUUAAAAUAGCAAUUGGGGUAGCUAGAGGCUUGGUAUGGCUCCACCAU